GAGGAGGUCGCGGCUGAUUAGCUAGUUGGCGGGGUAAUGGCCCACCAAGGCGAAGAUCGGUAGCCGGCCUGAGAGGGCGCACGGCCACACUGGAACUGAGACACGGUCCAGACUCCUACGGGAGGCAGCAGUGGGGAAUUUUGCGCAAUGGGGGAAACCCUGACGCAGCAACGCCGCGUGGAGGAUGAAGUCCCUUGGGACGUAAACUCCUUUCGACCGGGAAGAUGAUGACGGUACCGGUGGAAGAAGCACCGGCUAACUCUGUGCCAGCAGCCGCGGUAAUACAGAGGGUGCGAGCGUUGUUCGGAAUUAUUGGGCGUAAAGGGCGCGUAGGCGGUGUGGUAAGUCACCUGUGAAAUCUCCGGGCUUAACUCGGAGCUUGCAGGCGAAACUGCCGUGCUGGAGUGUGGGAGAGGUGCGUGGAAUUCCCGGUGUAGCGGUGAAAUGCGUAGAUAUCGGGAGG
rnacentral:rRNA from 1 species